rnacentral:rRNA from 1 species
GAUGAACGCUGGCGGCGUGCUUAAUACAUGCAAGUCGAGCGAACAGACGAGGAGCUUGCUCCUCUGACGUUAGCGGCGGAAGGGUGAGUAACACGUGGAUAACCUACCUAUAAGACUGGGUUAACUUCGGGAAACCGGUGCUAAUACCGGAUAAUAUAUUGAACCGCAUGGUUCAAUAGUGAAAGACGGUUUUGCUGUCCCUUAUAGAUGGAUCCGCGCCGCAUUAGCUAGUUGGUAAGGUAACGGCUUACCAUGGCAACGAUGCGUAGCCGACCUGAGAGGGUGAUCGGCCACACUGGAACUGAGACGCGGUCCAGACACCUACGGGAGGCAGCAGUAGGGAAUCGUCCGCAAUGGGCGGAAGCUUGACGGAGCAACGCCGCGUGGGUGAUGAAGGUCUUCGGAUCGUAAGACUCUGUUAUUAGGGAAGAACGAAUGUGUAAGUAACUAUGCACGUCUUGACGGUACCUAAUCAGAAAGCCACGGCUAACUACGUG